rnacentral:sRNA from 17 species
UAACCACAUUAUCCGACUUAGGUCGGGGUUAGUCAGAGUAGCGGCAUAGUCACCGCUACAUAAUAAGAAGUCGUUUGCACUUAGCUUGA